GGCUGAAAAAAAAAAGUGACGCUAAAAUGGAAAAUGGGUCUCCCGUGACAUCUUCUCUAAAAAAAUUUAACUUCCCUCUCUCUUGCAAAUUUAGUUUUAGAUUUUUCUUCCAAAAACUAAUUUCAGAUCUCUCACCCAAUUUUUCAGUUCUCUCAACCCUAACAAAAUCGAAGAAUAGAAAAACCCUGUCUAGCUCUCGUGUCUCUCGCCUUAUCUCUCGUCGUCCUCGUCUAUGACAUCUGCCCAGCCAAACAACCACCAUCGCAGCACCAUUGUCUUCGAGCUCCGCCCAAUUGAUGCCUCAACGUGCCUAGGUUCGUCCCUUGUUGUUGACUGCCGCACCAGAAUCUUAGGCUUCAUUGGACGAUGCUAUAGUGGUCAAGUCUUCUCCCUGCAUUCAAUAAUUUUCCUUGUCUAGCAUGGGUUUCAUUUGAAAUUUUGAGUUUCUCCUAUUUAUUUUGGUCAUAUGGUGACCUUGAUGAUCUUGACAAGGGUCAUGUCUCUAAACAUUUGUUUGUUUGAUAGUCCUUUGAACUUUUCUUGAUAUUAUUUGGUCUAUAUUUGCUCUAUCCGAAACCAAAAGAAGAUUAUUAUCAAUUAGGAAGGUUGUACCA